rnacentral:rRNA from 1 species
CGGGACGGGUGAGUAACGCGUGAGAAUCUGCCUUUAGGACGGGGACAACAGUUGGAAACGGCUGCUAAAACCCGAUGUGCCCUUCGGGGUGAAAUAUUUAUAGCCUGAAGAUGAGCUCGCGUCUGAUUAGCUAGUAGGUGCGGUAAUGGCGUACCUAGGCGACGAUCAGUAACUGGUCUGAGAGGAUGACCAGUCACACUGGGACUGAGACACGGCUCAG